rnacentral:tRNA from 1 species
UGGACAGAAGCCUGUUAGGUUUAGGCAUUUAGCUGUUAACUAAAAUUUUGUGGGAUCGAAGCCCACCUGUUCAG